rnacentral:rRNA from 1 species
UACGGAGGGUGCGAGCGUUGUCCGGAAUCACUGGGCGUAAAGGGCGCGUAGGUGGCGCGGGCAGUCAACGGUGAAAGUUCGGGGCUCAACCCUGAAUCGGCCGUCGAUACUCCCGGGCUUGAGCACUGUAGAGGCAGAUGGAAUUCCGGGUGUAGCGGUGGAAUGCGUAGAGAUCCGGAAGAACACCGGUGGCGAAGGCGGUCUGCUGGGCAGUAACUGACGCUGAGGAGCGAAAGCGUGGGGAGCGAACAGG